UCAGGCGAUCCAAGGAUUUGCUUGUUGCCGCUACCUGCAAUCUACUGUCGUUCCCCCUCCUGGUUGAUCUGCUGGUACUUCACCCCUUGUCCAGGUAUUUCCUGAGGCAAAGCUUAUAUCAUAACAAAGGAGUAAAAGAAGAGGGCUUUCUGGUCCCGGAAGAGACUUUCAAGGUCGUCGGGAGAAAACAGCAAGCUCUUUGGAAGCAGGCACACUGACAGGUGGUCAGAUGGGGCACUCGGCUUAUUUCCUGAAAUUACUCUGAGCUCUCAAAGCUGAUACUGAUCUGGAAGUUCCUGCAUGCCCUGAACACCCAAACCACAAAGGGCGAGUGGAAAGAGGUUCCAUGGGAUUAUCCUAAUGGGAUUUUCACGGCCCUUGAUAACGAGCAAGUUGAAAUGCAAGAGCUUCACAAGGUCUCAGGAAAGACAAAGAAUCAUAAAGCUGGAAAGAGUAUGGAUGGUCACCCUCACUUCAAAAUGGACCAGAGGAAUUACCCCGCCUCGUUCAUUCUUUUAGCCCAUUUUAAAGUUCAAAGUCCUUUUUGGUAAUUUCCCCCAGAGGCUCGCUUCCAUUCCACAUUUUAAGUCUCACUAGAAAUGUUUCCUUUAACAAUCUAUGUCCAAGCUAUGCCACUUUAUGUAUGGAAAUCAUGGGUAAAAUGACAAAUUUUGUGGACAAAAAAUCAGGAUAUGUGGUCCAGCUGAAUAUGUUUCUGAUUUAUGGCUUCAAUUCUGAAUAAAUAAAAUGUGAUUCUCUGCUUAA